rnacentral:rRNA from 1 species
GCUUCCGUAAGGGGAACCUGCGGAAGGAUCAUUAUCGAGUUUUGAAACGGGUUGUAGCUGGCCUUCCGAGGCAUGUGCACGCCCUGCUCAUCCACUCUACACCUGUGCACUUACUGUGGGUUUCAGGAACUUCGAAAGCGGGAGUCGCCUUCGCGGGCUUUUUCGCUGUAGUUGUGACUGGGCCUACGUUUAUCACAAACUCUUAUAAGUAUCAGAAUGUGUAUUUGCGAUGUAACGCAUCUCUAUACAACUUUCAGCAACGGAUCUCUUGGCUCUCGCAUCGAUGAAGAACGCAGCGAAAUGCGAUAAGUAAUGUGAAUUGCAGAAUUCAGUGAAUCAUCGAAUCUUUGAACGCACCUUGCGCUCCUUGGUAUUCCGAGGAGCAUGCCUGUUUGAGUGUCAUGAAAUUCUCAACCUAACGAGUUCUUAACGGGACUUGCUUAGGCUUGGACUUGGAGGCUUGUCGGCUAGCUUUCGUCUAGUCGGCUCCUCUCAAAUGCAUUAGCUUUGGUUCCUUGCGGAUCUGGCUCACGGUGUGAUAAUUGUCUACGCCGCGACCGUUGAAGCGUUUAUACGGGCCAGCUUCUAAUCGUCUCUCUGCGAGACAACAUUCAUCGAACUCUGACCUCAAAUCAGGUAGGACUACCCGCUGAACUUAAGCAUAUCAAUAAGGCCGGAGGAA